AAGCAUAAAGCACUGUGCAAACAAAGUGAAAUUAAAUGCAAGCUACUACAUAAAUGGCACUCAAGUAUGGAGUUCUCUGAGCCUUUGUUUACAAGAAAGAGGAGCUACGUGAAUCCAGCUAAAAUACCUGCCUUCUGUCGACAGAAUACUCUCCAACUGGACCAAGAGGAGAGUAUUUAAGAGGAUGGGUUUGAGGCAAGACAGCACACAGCUCCUGGAAAUCUACCAGCCAGCAAGAGCUGCAACCACAAGCUGGACUCUGGUCAGACUGGAGAAGUCCUCAACCCAUCAUCCCAGGAUACUGGCAUCCACCUAUGUAUACAAGAAGCUGGCCUUCAAGUAUUGGGAUCCCUGCACUAACAAUAAGAAAUAGCACCAAAAUUUUGUGAGGAUAAUGGCAUACAAAUGACUUGCUGUAAUUGGUGUUUCUACCCCACAAUGCAAUGAAGUCCAUUGUACCUGAGAUAAUGGGACUCUCUCACGAAGUUGCUGCAUUGUUACCAAGCAACAAGAA